rnacentral:rRNA from 1 species
CCUACGGGUGGCUGCAGUGGGGAAUAUUUGACAAUGGGGGCAACCCUGAUCCAGCCAUGCCGCGUGUGUGAAGAAGGCCCUCGGGUUGUAAAGCACUUUCAGUGAGGAAGAACGCCUGGUGGUUAAUACCCAUCAGGAAAGACAUCACUCACAGAAGAAGCACCGGCUAACUCCGUGCCAGCAGCCGCGGUAAUACGGAGGGUGCGAGCGUUAAUCGGAAUUACUGGGCGUAAAGCGCGCGUAGGUGGCUUGAUAAGCCGGUUGUGAAAGCCCCGGGCUCAACCUGGGAACGGCAUCCGGAACUGUCAAGCUAGAGUGCAGGAGAGGAAGGUAGAAUUCCCGGUGUAGCGGUGAAAUGCGUAGAGAUCGGGAGGAAUACCAGUGGCGAAGGCGGCCUUCUGGACUGACACUGACACUGAGGUGCGAAAGCGUGGGUAGCAAACAGGAUUAGAUACCCGGGUAGUC